UUGGAUACUCAUUUGCAAAGCGA
rnacentral:piRNA from 1 species